rnacentral:rRNA from 1 species
UACGUAGGGUGCAAGCGUUGUCCGGAAUUAUUGGGCGUAAAGAGCUCGUAGGCGGUUUGUCGCGUCGAAUGUGAAAACCCGGGGCUCAACCCCGGGCCUGCAUUCGAUACGGGCAGACUAGAGUUCGGUAGGGGAGUCUGGAAUUCCUGGUGUAGCGGUGAAAUGCGCAGAUAUCAGGAGGAACACCGGUGGCGAAGGCGGUUAGCUGGGCAGUUGCUGACACUGAGGCGCGACAGCGUGGGGAGCAAACAGG